UUAUUACAGAGAGAAGAAUUAAGAAAAUCUGUGAUGAAGUUACGCUACUUGCCCGGCCAUGAAAAUCUCAAGGAAGAGUUGGACGAUCUCCUGACGCUGCUGAAGGAAGCUCCUCCCUUCAGGGUGUGCGGUUUCUUCACCCUCGCGCGGGACAACCUCGUCGGGAUGUUAAGUUUUGUGGCUACGUAUGUCGUCAUUCUGCUUCAGUUCAAGACUUCAGAGAGCGGCGAUAAGAUAGGCAAAGCAAAUACG